rnacentral:rRNA from 1 species
AGCAGCCGCGGUAAUUCCAGCUCCAAUAGCGUAUAUUAAAGUUGUUGCAGUUAAAAAGCUCGUAGUUGAAUUUCGGGGUCAGUAAGUUGGUCGUGCCACUGGUAUGCACUGGCUUUACUGAUUCCUCCUUCUUGAAGAACUGUGAUGUCAUUUACUUGGUGUUGCAGGGAAACAGGACUGUUACUUUGAAAAAAUUAGAGUGUUUAAAGCAGGCUAACGCUUGAAUACAUUAGCAUGGAAUAAUGAAAUAGGACGUUUGACCCUAUUUUGUUGGUUUCUAGGAUCGACGUAAUGAUUAAUAGGGAUAGUUGGGGGCAUUAGUAUUCAAUUGUCAGAGGUGAAAUUCUUGGAUUUAUUGAAGACUAACUACUGCGAAAGCAUUUGCCAAGGAUGUUUUCAUUAAUCAAGAACGAAAGUUAGGGGAUCGAAGACGAUCAGAUACCGUCGUAGUCUUAACCAUAAACUAUGCCGACUAGGGAUCGGAUGAUGUUAAUUUUUAAUGACUCAUUCGGCGCCUUAA